AGCGAACGCUGGCGGCAGGCCUAACACAUGCAAGUCGAACGGAUCCUUCGGGAUUAGUGGCGGACGGGUGAGUAACACGUGGGAACGUGCCCUUUGGUUCGGAACAACUCAGGGAAACUUGAGCUAAUACCGGAUGUGCCCUUCGGGGGAAAGAUUUAUCGCCAUUGGAGCGGCCCGCGUCUGAUUAGCUAGUUGGUGAGGUAACGGCCCACCAAGGCGACGAUCAGUAGCUGGUCUGAGAGGAUGAUCAGCCACACUGGGACUGAGACACGGCCCAGACUCCUACGGGAGGCAGCAGCGGGGAAUCUUGCGCAAUGGGCGAAAGCCUGACGCAGCCAUGCCGCGUGAAUGAUGAAGGUCUUAGGAUUGUAAAAUUCUUUCAGCGGGGACGAUAAUGACGGUACCCGCAGAAGAAGCUCCGGCUAACUUCGUG
rnacentral:rRNA from 1 species